GUGUGUGUGUGUGUGUGUGUGUGUGUGUGUUGCGUCCAGGUUCAGACGCGAAACAUCCGCUGUCUUCCCGACGUCCUCGUCAUCAACUGUGAGGUGAACAGCGCCAAGGAGGCCGAGUUCUGGAAGGUGCAGGCGGAGUACGCCUUCAACAAGGCGAAGCAGAAGGAGAAGGAGAAGCAGGCGAUGGAGCCUCCGAAGCCCAAAGAGCCGCCUCCGCCCAUGCCCACCGAGUGGUGCUUAGACGGGGAGGACCCGAGCAGCAUGGCGGGAUUCACCUUCGACACCAAGGCCGAAGACCUGAGACACGUCUGGAUCCCUCAGAGCCUCAAGAUGCAGAUCAGCAAAACCCAGGGGUUAGAGGUCAGCAGCUGGCCGGAGGGAGAGGAGGUAACA